UGUCAUGAACCACCACUUACAAGAA
rnacentral:piRNA from 1 species